rnacentral:lncRNA from 1 species
UGACCUAAAAGUGAAGUGGCCGAGCAAAUGAGGAAUGAGGAAGACCAACUAGCUUGACUUUGCUGAGCAAGCCUGCAGAAUCGCUAAGUGCCAGAGUUUUCCCUCCGAAUAGUAGAAGUAGUAAAAAAGAGAGUUACCAUGGUCCUAUUUAUAGGACUCCAGAAUGGCACCGAUCUACUAACGAUUUACCUCCAUCCGAUGUUCGACAAAUGUCACCCGAUGAUUGGUCAAAGAAUGGCUCCCAC